rnacentral:rRNA from 1 species
AGAUUGAACGCUGGCGGCAGGCCUAACACAUGCAAGUCGAGCGGUAGAGAGGUGCUUGCAUCUCUUGAGAGCGGCGGACGGGUGAGUAAUGCCUAGGAAUCUGCCUAGUGGUGGGGGAUAACGUUCGGGAACGGACGCUAAUACCGCAUACGUCCUACGGGAGAAAGCGGGGGACCUUCGGGCCUCGCGCCAUUAGAUGAGCCUAGGUCGGAUUAGCUAGUUGGUGAGGUAAUGGCUCACCAAGGCGACGAUCCGUAACUGGUCUGAGAGGAUGAUCAGUCACACUGGAACUGAGACACGGUCCAGACUCCCACGGAGGCAGCAGUGGGAAUAUUGGACAAUGGGCGAAAGCC